rnacentral:rRNA from 1 species
UACAGAGGUCCCGAGCGUUGUUCGGAUUCACUGGGCGUAAAGGGUGCGUAGGUGGCAGGGUAAGUCGGAUGUGAAAGCUCGGAGCUCAACUCCGAAAUGGCAUUGGAAACUACCCAGCUCGAGGGUUGGAGGGGGGACUGGAAUGCUUGGUGUAGCAGUGAAAUGCGUAGAUAUCAAGCGGAACACCAGUGGCGAAGGCGAGUCCCUGGACAACUCCUGACACUGAGGCGCGAAAGCCAGGGGAGCAAACAGG